rnacentral:rRNA from 1 species
AGUGGGGAAUAUUGCGCAAUGGGGGCAACCCUGAUGCAGCGACGCCGCGUGAGUGAAGAAGUAUUUCGGUAUGUAAAGCUCUAUCAGCAGGGAAGAAAAUGACGGUACCUGACUAAGAAGCCCCGGCUAACUACGUGCC